rnacentral:lncRNA from 1 species
UUGUAGUCCAGGAUGAUGGCUGGCUUCCUGUCCUCACAAUCACUGAUCUCAGCCGUUUUGUGCAGUGUGCUCAGGAGGACCACAUUCUUGUUCCUCUUUGGGAGGUAAAGUGGAGCUGAGAACCAGUACUGAGGUAAAGGCUCAGUGUGAUCAGAAUGUGUCCCUGCAGUGUGACAUCAUGUCACCGAGCCCACUCAAGAUCAUUCUCUUUUCCUGGGUAAGGAAAGGGAAACAGCUGUGUGUGGUCAAUGCCACUGGUGUAUUCUCCUUUCCUGGCGUCCGGUGUGACAACACAAACAACACCCUCACACUCAAUCUGACUCGGGUGAUGCCGUCCAGUCAGGGUAACUACACCUGCAAACUGCGCUCCAACCUAACGAUCACAGCUGCCAACACCACUGUGACAAUGCAAGAGUGCCUAAGGACAUCUGAGCACAAAGUGUUCCAGAAUGAGUCUCAGGUUGAGUGCCAGUUAUUUGGAGUUUACCCAGAAGGCACAGUACACUGGUUCCUGGGCUCUGAGAAUAUAACAGAGUCCGCCAGCACAAAGAGCCAGCUGGAUGAAGAGGGGCUGUUUGAUAUAAGGAGUACCCUGCCUACCCAGGCUGGGACUGAGCCUUACAACUGCUCCUUGUGGAUACCUAGUAGUGGAACCUACAGCUCUCACAAACAGCUGCACUACUCCAGGGGGCUCUCUUCAGGGACAAAGACUAGGAGCAGACUGCUGUUGUUCUUCAUCCUGGUUGGACUCAUAAUCAUAAUUUAGGACUACUCAUGGGAAGGUCAGGAGUUUUUUUACUGAAUAUGGGACUUCGAACUACAGUAGGGCAAAGGGCUUUUCUGGUCAGGGCACAUCUACACAGGAUGGAUCAGGGCCUUUCUCUUACUGAGUGAAGAGAAAGCAAACCUGGACUGCCAUGGCCAAAGUAGAUAUAUGUUUUCACUUAUUAUACUGGGAAGCAAAAUAUCAAAGAAAUUGCAAUAAAUACAAUUGAAUUUUAAAGCUGAAAAUCAUUGUACAUUGGGAUUUGAGAAUACUGUAAGAAGUAUUCAUCCGUUCAUCGUUUGUCUUCAACGUUAUACACUUGCUUAAAUUGCAUUGCUUAUUACAGUAGUAGAGUACUGCUUCCUGGUGGUGAAAGUGUUUACUGAUGGAAAUAGUAUUGAUGUUAGAUGAGUAAUAAAGCUGUUCUAAAUUGUAUUGUUGAAUUGACUGAUCUUGCUUAUUAAGUCUGUCAUAUCUUGUUGCUGUGUUUUCCAGUCAGCACUGAUUAGACUGAUUAUAUAAUCAAUCAAUGCAAUGUCAAAACAUGGCUAGAAGGACAUGUUACUGUGUGUUCUGGAUUCUAAAAUACAACUUGAAUUGUACCAUAGCAAAUAUAGUCACCCGUGUUGUUUUCUGUACUAGUUCUCAAUUUAAAAAUGAACCAGACCACCCUGGGUACUCAUGACAUUGACAGUAAAAGAAUGAGGACUCAUGGUCAUUCAAAUUGCAUUUCUAGUUCCUUCUCAGUGUACCACAAGGGGGCAGAGUCAUCCCACCAGAGAGGACUGUCAAACCAAUCAUACACAACUCUUCUCCCUCUGCAUACAAACACACACUCAUGCUGUGUGAAUUCCAAUCCAACUGUUCUGUAUAAAUCAACACUUUGAUGUGACACAUUUCCUAUCAAUUUCCUCUACGC